UGGCGGGCGUGCGAAGCAGCGUUUGAAGUGGACGGCAGCUCGUUAGGAUUUGAACAAAAAGACGCUGAAGGGUCCUUACUGCGCCCUUGUCUUUACGCGCUGCCGUUUGCUUCAAACUUUGCAACACCGAGUUGCCCAACCUCGUACGCUUUUGGAAGUUUUCUACAUUUCGCGGUUUCCGCGGGCCUCGCUGCUGCCUCGUGGUAACGCGCGAUCGCCCCGGGGUUGCGUGCUUUGACAAGUGUUCUCUGCGCGGACCUUGUCAGGGACCACAUGGCCCUGCAGCUCGCCCGGGUGUUGCCGCACGUCGACUUCGCUGCUGACCGACUCACUUCGCCCAGCGUUGAGCCCUCAACAGUGGUAUGCGUUGCCGGUAGCAGACUUGACUGGCUGCUCUUCCAAGGAGAGCUUGCCUCUCGGGCGAAAAACCAACCGGGUUGUGCCUGCCGGCAGUGCGGUGAGUCGCUUGCUUUUUUGCUCGUCAGAGCGUGUUGUGCUAGCAGAUGCGUCGCCUCCUUGAGUGUGGUUCGAGUGUUUGCACACGGUGCGCUGGCCUUUCUGGUGUUUGGCUGUGCUGGAGUCUAGGCCGCUGAAAGGGGUUUUGAGGCCCAAUUAGAACUUGGAGCUCGAUUGCGAUAAGCACGAAGCACAGUUUGCCACUCACAAAAGUUGUUGUCUUGCUGGUUGAUGGUCUCUUUAUCCACUGUGUCCUCCAUAGCUAUGGUGGCUAGACGGGGAUGUGUGGUGGACGGGCAACAAAAGUUGGCCGCCAUUCGCGUGAAUGACAUGGGGUAGCACAGCGGUCAGGGGCGCCAUCAGGGAUCGCGGCUGUUCUGUGCGCUCGGCUGGGACAACGCUUCACUGCAGUGCAAACGUGUUACCGAAUUAUAUACAACUUUAGCUUAUAAUGCAGUUCUUCAGCAUCGCACGCACACAGUGGGAUUUUCAAAUACGAGGUAUACAGUUAUCUUCCAACGGAAAGCAAACAAGCCUUUCGGGAAUGCCUCAUUGAUGAACUACUAUACCCGGCGACAACUUUCUGUGGCAGCACGGCCAAGGCUACGUGGGCGGAGCCUAUGCGCAAGUGCUACUGCGCCAAGUAGUCCGACCGCUUCGACGGGUGUUUCGGUUUCGAUUUCACCAGCGCAGUCCGCGUCAGCGCAUUCCCACAACGGUGCCAUGUGAAAAUGCGGUGAAUUACGAUCUGCGCGCAAGCACCAUCGAGCUUAAUCACGCGUGAAUGGCGUUCAUUGAAGGCAUAUACACAUGUAUAUCUAUCUAAUUUGCAAGAGUGAUCUAACUGUUCAUAAAAUUUAUUUUAUUUGCAGCAGUAUUUGAAAAAAAAUUUAUGGAUUCGGCAAUAAGUACUCAAUUUGAUGUUCAUCUCGUCCGGAAAAGACACAGGCUGUGUCUAAACGCAGCGCGACGACUUGUAAUGCGAUCUUUUACUGCGAAGGAAUAUAGCAAAGCGUAAAGCCCUCUACGAGAACAGACUCUAUUUGUAACGAAUGUCGGCGCACUUUUAUUGUGGGAAAAACAUUAAAGGGACCGAUAAGCUCAGGAUAGGGUGGAUUGCAAAUCGUUG
rnacentral:lncRNA from 1 species